rnacentral:rRNA from 1 species
AACGAACGCUGGCGGCAGGCCUAACACAUGCAAGUCGAGCGGGUGUCCCUUGUGGCGUCGGCGGCGGGUGGGUUAGUCGCGGGUGGGUGCGCGCUUCGUGCGUGUGACUGGUCCUGGGGACUCCGGGGGCCUACCGGUUGCGCACUGCGGGGGAUAGAUGGCAAAACCGGCACGGGACGGGCGCGCGUGUGAUUAGGUAGUUGGUGGGGUACCGGCCCACCAAGCCGACGAUCGGUAGCUGGUAUGAGAGGAUGAUCAGCCACACUGGGACUGAGACACGGCCCAGACUCCUACGGGAGGCAGCAGUGGGGAAUCUUGGACAAUGGGCGCAAGCCUGAUCGAGCCAUGCCGCGUGAGUGAUGAAGGCCUUAGGGUCGUAAAGCCCUUUCACCAGGGAAGAUAAUGACGGUACCUGGUGAAGAAGCCCCGGCUAACUCCGUG